rnacentral:rRNA from 1 species
AUACCCUAUUAUUUUUAAUGUAAAUUUAUUAGCCUGAGUAGUAAUAGUUAAAUCUUUAAACUUAAAGAAUUUGGCGGUAUUAUAGUCUAUUUAGAGGAAUCUGUUAUGUAAUCGAUAGUCCACGUUGAACCUUACUUAUAUUAUUUCUUGUAUAUCGCUGUUUAGAAAAUACUUUCAGGUAUAAAAUUUUCUGGAUAAUAAUUAAUUAAUAAUUCAAGUCAAGGUGCAGUAAUAUAUAAGUUGUAUAAUGGAUUACAAUAAAAUGUAUUUAAACGGAUUAUGAUUUUAAUUUUGUUUUGAAGGUGGAUUUAAUUGUAAUUUUGUAAAGAUUAAUAAAAAUGAUUUUUAACUCUAUUAUAUG